CCUUUCGGCCCUCCUUCCCGGACCCCGACGGCGCCCGCAUCGGCUCCGGCGCCGCCACGCUCCACGCCGUCGCCUCCCUCGCCCGCCACCUCGUCUCCCAGGCCACCAAGGAAGAGAUCACCGAAUUCCUCCCCGAAGCGACCGGCUCCUCCGCCGAUGACGUCUCGCUAACAUCCGUGGUGCGCUUCAUGGCCACCAAGCAUGUGCUGCUGCUGCACGCCGGCGUCGACAUCAAGAGGGUUCCGUGGGCGAACCCCAUGGGGAAGGCCUUCCUGCUGGUGCCUUACCUGGCUGGGGACAACCUCGACGGGCAUGUCCAACUGCUCUUCGACCACAUCAGGGGGGUCUAGCGCAAGGCAAGCAUUCAAGACCGGCAUCGGCAAGUCCAAUCUGCUCUCCCGCUUCACCCGCAACGUGUUCAGCCUCGAGUCCAAGUCCACCAUCAGGGGGGGUCAAAUUCGCCACCCGCUCCCUCUAGGUCGACGGCAAGGUCGUCAAGGCCCAGAUUUGGGACACCACCGGCUCUUCCUAUCCCCGUCUGUUCGGUAGCAGUUGUGGAGACCAUGGAUGGGACUAUCGCAGUUGCUUCUGCAUUUUGCGGGCAUCAGGAAGGGCCUGUUGCGCCUCUGCCACCUUGGCGGCUUCUGCCUUAAGGAGCUCCACCUCGGCCUCGAGGCGGCUCUUGUGACCCGCCAGCUGCUCAAGUAGCCGGUUGGCCUCGUCGAGAGACCGCUAAGCCGCGACCGCCUCCGCCCUUGCCCGCGCCGCCUCGACGCCAAGACGGCCGGUGUCGGCAACGAGCCGGUCGUAGUGAUGACUGGCCCGGAGCAGACGAGUCCGCCAGGACAACACCUCGGCUGCGAAAAAGGAGGACUCACCAGAAGAAAAAAGCAAGACUUAAGAUAUGGCCCAACUAUUACACAGUUGGCCUGAAUCUCGGGGGCUACACCCAGUGGGUGCGCUAGCGCGCCCCCACUAGAAAAAAGCACAAGAAUACCUGCGGUGACACAGAGCUCCUCCUCCUUGGCGGCAAGCUGCUCCAUGAGCUCCCGGUGCUUGCCCAAGAGACGAUUGUAGGCAGCGACCCGGAAGGCGUCGAGAUGACGAAGAAAGCAGAAAUCAGAAUAAGGCCAACACUCUAAAGAUUCGACCCAACAACUACGUAGUUGGCCCGAACCUCGGGGGCUGCACCUAGUGGGUGCAUUGGCGCGCCCCCACAAAGAAGAAAUUACAAGAAGACUUAACAGAACGGUGCGCUCCAGGUCACGCGUCCGCUCCACCUCGGCCUGGGCGAAGGCCUCGAGCCAUUCCGUCCGUCCUCGCAGGCAGCGACUGACGGUGUCCAGCGCCGCCUCCUCCAGGGUCUAAGGCCCGAAGACAAUGACGCCCCCACUCCGCGCCGGCUGCGGCACGACAGCUCGGCGCCCUCCCUGCCGGGGCACCAAGGCGUACUCCCCGCUGGCCGCUCGUGACGCGGCCAGCGCCUCCUCC